ACGAACGCUGGCGGCGUGCCUAAUACAUGCAAGUAGAACGCUGAAGGAGGAGCUUGCUUCUCCGGAUGAGUUGCGAACGGGUGAGUAACGCGUAGGUAACCUGCCUGGUAGCGGGGGAUAACUAUUGGAAACGAUAGCUAAUACCGCAUAAGAGUAGAUGUCGCAUGACAUUUGCUUAAAAGGUGCAACUGCACCACUACCAGAUGGACCUGCGUUGUAUUAGCUAGUUGGUGAGGUAACGGCUCACCAAGGCAACGAUACAUAGCCGACCUGAGAGGGUGGUCGGCCCCCCUGGGACUGAGACCCCGCCCCGACUCCCUCGGGGGGGCGCAGUAGGGAAUCUUCGGCAAUGGACGGAAGGCUGGCCGAGCAACGCCGCGUGAGUGGAGAAGGUUUUCGGAUCGUAAAGCUCUGUUGUAAGAGAAGAACGAGUGUGGGGGUGGAAAGUUCACACUGUGACGGUAUCUUACCAGAAAGAGACGGCUAACUACGUG
rnacentral:rRNA from 1 species